GCCAUUUGUAUGUAUUCUUUGGAGAAGUAUCUAUUCAUGUCUUCUGCCCAUUUUUUGAUGUGAUUAUCUGUUUUGUGUGUGUUGUUUGAGGAGUUCUUUAUAGAUCUUGGAUAUCAGCCCUUUGUCUGUAGUGUCAUUUGCGAAUAUCUUCUCCCAUUCCGUGGGUUGCCUCUUUGUUUUGUUGACUGUUUCCUUUGCUGUGCAGAAGUUUUUUUUUUUUUUUUUUUUAGUUUAAAUGCAAUUUUAUUUUUAGACAACCUACAUGACAUGUUUUUCUCUUAAAAACAAUGCCUCCGCUCCAAAUAAAUCAGGGUCAAAAUAAAUGAAGAGCUCAAGAUGACAUCAGUCCCAUUUGUCUAAGUCCUGGUGUUGUGUGGAUGAAGAGCAGCAGCCAGUUACGACAACAGGUGAUACAUCCAAAGUAAUGGCCAGAUGAAUUAACAUUUCUCCAUCUCUAAACCAUCCUCAAAGAAAAUCAUAUAUGGGGUCACACCAUCCUCACGGUAGUCCAGCAAAGCAACCAUGCCAUCUGGAUUCAUGUUUUCACCAAUAAAGAACUGGUGGUUUUUGAAAUUAGCAAGGAUGUGCUUGAUUUGUUCUGCAGCCCCUGUCAUAAAAGGCUAUACUCUUUCUGGCCUCUGUUCUUCAAGUUUGCCUUUGGUGGAUUUCAUUUAAUCUUUGAUGCACUUCUUGUAGGCUUCUUUUGUGAAGCUGGUUUCCUACAAGUGAUGGUUCAUGACAAUAUCAACACCAGUGAUGACUGUGCUUUCAGUACCUUCGCCCUCCGGGCCUUCAGCAGAGGCAUUUCCACCAAUGAGCGAGUCAUCAAUGUUACCCUCUGUCCUACUGACCAUGGCUGAUGAGGUCCCGGUAGAUGAUCAUGAUGACGGCUGAAGAGAGAUGACGGCUGCACUACCUUAGCAAGAGCCGGGAGCUCUGAGCGAGCGCGGUGCAGCCAGAGCAGCACUGUUGGGGGGGGGGGGGGAAGUGGGCGGAAAAGGCCGACUCAGAAGC
rnacentral:lncRNA from 1 species